CUGAAACUCACAUUCUUGUGCUCUGACCCAGACAUUUCUAACUCCCCUGGGCUACACAAAGUCUGAAGCACUGUGCACAACGUAGAGAGCAGAAUUGGUGUGGCUUUCUUUACAAAUGGUGCAGCAUUGGAUUUUUCAAUUCCAGACAGAGAAGGAUAUGAAGAGGAAGGGAGAGAGGAGCGAUACUACAGUACCAUUCAUGAAACUUCUGGUUCUGUGGCUUGACUUCAGGAUUUUUUACAGGGCAAAGUGUACAAAGCCACCAGGUUCCAGAUGCUAGCAUGAUGCCAACCAUACUUUCCUGGACUGACGACCCCACCAAUGACCUCACCUGGAGCUCCAAUUCCCAGAAAUCCACCCCACUAGGGAAAGAGAGAGGCAGGCUGGGAGUAUGGAUAGACCUAUCAAUGUCCAUGUUCAGCGGGGAAGCAAUCACAGAAGCCGGACCUUCCACCUUCUGCAUCCCACAAUGACCUUGGGUCCAUACUCCCAGAGGGCUAAAGAAUGGGAAAGCUAUCAGGGGAGGGGAUGGGAUAUGAAGUUCUGGUGGUGGGAAUUGUUUGGAGUUGUACCCCUCUUAUCCUGUGGUUUUGUCAGUGUUUCCUUUUUAUAAAUGAAUAAUAAUAAAAAAACUAUUGAAGUUA